GGCGAAGGAGAGGAAUCUUACCUCUGAUGCCGAGAUAGGUAGACGUGAUGUUUACUUAAGAGCCCAUACAAGCAAGGACAAAGUUGUCCAGUAUCCUGACCUUAUUGAAAAAUUAGAUGAGCUUUAUUCUAGCAAUCCUUCUUCUAAGAUUACCAACGUUGACGAUGCCCUCACACAGUUGGUUGGUUCUGACAGUAGAGGGCGAAUGCGGGGUCUAGGUUGCUCAAUAACCAAGACAGGACUGAAGAUGUCAGCCCCUGCCCGUUCAAAGGUAGAGAAUUUGAUAAAAGAAAGAGAUAGCCUAGUGUAGGAGAUAUUUGAUAUAAAGAAAUCAUUGGCCAAGAUGGAGGCAUGGAUGGAGAUGCAGCAACAUGCAUAAUCUACUCAAAACCUCUCAUCACCAACAAUUGCUAAAUCUGCUCAGGCAUCGUCACCGGAUAUUAUAUAUAUCGGUAAGAGCUGCGACUUGCUUGGUUAGGGCAAUGGUGAUGUAGUUGCUCGUGGUCAAGUACAUGAAGUUAAUCCAAAUGCAGUUGUCCAUUGCAAACCAUUGGAGGAGGGAGCUUUUGUUAUUACCCUAAUUGAGAUUAUACAUCCAGACACUCAUUUGUGGAAAGAAGAUGGGUUCGCAUCUACACUUGGAGAUGCUAGUCCAGGAUCACUUGUGCAAUGGGGGAAGGAAUCUUUGAUAUUUCAAUAAUUUGAACAAAUUUAGUACUCUAUAAUUGAACUUGGUGUGGAUGCUUUUUUUAGUUACUUUAUAUGAUGUUUCACUUAUUUUUUUGGUUAAUUUUGAACUAAUUUGGCACUUUAGUUACUUUAUAUUGAUGAACUCAGAACUUAGUUUGGUUUUUAGUUACUUU